rnacentral:rRNA from 1 species
AUGCACGCUGGCGGCGUGCCUAAUACAUGCAAGUCGAGCGAACAGACGAGGAGCUUGCUCCUUUGACGUUAGCGGCGGACGGGUGAGUAACACGUGGGUAACCUACCUAUAAGACUGGGAUAACUUCGGGAAACCGGAGCUAAUACCGGAUAAUAUUUCGAACCGCAUGGUUCGAUAGUGAAAGAUGGCUUUGCUAUCACUUAUAGAUGGACCUGCGCCGUAUUAGCUAGUUGGUAAGGUAACGGCUUACCAAGGCAACGAUACGUAGCCGACCUGAGAGGGUGAUCGGCCACACUGGAACUGAGACACGGUCCAGACUCCUACGGGAGGCAGCAGUAGGGAAUCUUCCGCAAUGGGCGAAAGCCUGACGGAGCAACGCCGCGUGAGUGAUGAAGGUCUUCGGAUCGUAAAACUCUGUUAUUAGGGAAGAACAAACGUGUAAGUAACUGUGCACGUCUUGACGGUACCUAAUCAGAAAGCCACGGCUAACUACGUG